rnacentral:rRNA from 1 species
GACGAACGCUGGCGGCGUGCUUAACACAUGCAAGUCGAACGGACCCUUUGGGGUUAGUGGCGAACGGGUGAGUAACACGUGGGUGAUCUGCCCUGCACUUUGGGAUAAGCCUGGGAAACUGGGUCUAAUACCGGAUAGGACUACGAACUGCAUGGUGUCUGGUGGAAAGCUUUUGCGGUGUGGGAUGGGCCCGCGGCCUAUCAGCUUGUUGGUGGGGUGAUGGCCUACCAAGGCGAGGACGGGUAGCCGGCCUGAGAGGGUGACCGGCCACACUGGGACUGAGAUACGGCCCAGACUCCUACGGGAGGCAGCAGUGGGGAGUAUUGCACAAUGGGCGCAAGCCUGAUGCAGCGACGCCGCGUGAGGGAUGACGGCCUUCGGGUUGUAAACCUCUUUCGCCAGGGACGAAGCGCAAGUGACGGUACCUGGAGAAGAAGGACCGGCCAACUACGUGCCAGCCGCCGCCGUAACAC